UAUGUUCAAGAUGACGAAGUUCUUCAGGGAGCGCGACCAAGUAUGAGAAAGCUAAGCCACCAAAACAAACAUGAUACACAGGUUCAACCGCACUAGUUACGAUAUAUCUGGCAUGAUAGUUUUCUAAGCGUUUGGCUAUAAAUCUCCCAAAAAAUGAGAACAUUGUAAAUAAUCUAUACAGGAAAUUAGAAGAAAAAAGGAGAAGAAUCACAAAAGGAAGACAAAGUAGAAGCUUUGGAAAUGGAAUAAAGACAUAGAAGUUGGGUUGUUGUUAUUGUUUCUUUUUAAUUAACGAUGUGUGCCAAUGUGAUCCUUAAGUUGUGGA
rnacentral:lncRNA from 1 species